rnacentral:rRNA from 1 species
CCUACGGGUGGCAGCAGUGAGGAAUAUUGGUCAAUGGUCGUAAGCCUGAACCAGCCAAGUCGCGUGAGGGAUUAAGGCCCUGCGGGUUGUAAACCUCUUUUGUCGGGGAGCAGAGGUCCGGACGUGUCCGGGCCUGGAGAGUACCCGGAGAAAAAGCAUCGGCUAACUCCGUGCCAGCAGCCGCGGUAUACGGAGGAUGCGAGCGUUAUCCGGAUUUAUUGGGUUUAAAGGGUGCGUAGGCGGGCAUUUAAGCCGGCGGUCAAAUGUCGGGGCUCAACCCCGGCCUGCCGUCGGAACUGGGUGCCUUGAGUGGGCGAGAAGUAUGCGGAAUGCGUGGUGUAGCGGUGAAAUGCAUAGAUAUCACGAAGAACCCCGAUUGCGAAGGCAGCAUACCGGCGCCCUACUGACGCUGAGGCACGAAAGUGCGGGUAUCGAACAGGAUUAGAUACCCUAGUAGUC